rnacentral:tRNA from 2 species
UUAAUGAAGCAUACUCAGGAAG